rnacentral:piRNA from 2 species
GACAUUUUCAUACAUGUAUAUAAUGUAUUUU